rnacentral:rRNA from 1 species
CGAGUGGCGGACGGGUGAGUAAUGUCUGGGAAACUGCCUGGUGGAGGGGGAUAACUACUGGAAACGGUAGCUAAUACCGCAUAACGUCGCAAGACCAAAGAGGGGGACCUUCGGGCCUCUUGCCAUCGGAUGUGCCCAGAUGGGAUUAGCUAGUAGGUGGGGUAACGGCUCACCUAGGCGACGAUCCCUAGCUGGUCUGAGAGGAUGACCAGCCACACUGGAACUGAGACACGGCCCAGACUCCUACGGGAGGCAGCAUG